rnacentral:misc_RNA from 1 species
CGGAGGGAUCAUUACCGAGUUUACAACUCCCAAACCCCUGUGAACAUACCACUUGUUGCCUCGGCGGAUCAGCCCGCUCCCGGUAAAACGGGACGGCCCGCCAGAGGACCCCUAAACUCUGUUUCUAUAUGUAACUUCUGAGUAAAACCAUAAAUAAAUCAAAACUUUCAACAACGGAUCUCUUGGUUCUGGCAUCGAUGAAGAACGCAGCAAAAUGCGAUAAGUAAUGUGAAUUGCAGAAUUCAGUGAAUCAUCGAAUCUUUGAACGCACAUUGCGCCCGCCAGUAUUCUGGCGGGCAUGCCUGUUCGAGCGUCAUUUCAACCCUCAAGCACAGCUUGGUGUUGGGACUCGCGUUAAUUCGCGUUCCCCAAAUUGAUUGGCGGUCACGUCGAGCUUCCAUAGCGUAGUAGUAAAACCCUCGUUACUGGUAAUCGUCGCGGCCACGCCGUUAAACCCCAACUUCUGAAUGUUGACCUCGGAUCAGGUAGGAAUACCCGCUGAACUUAAGCA